rnacentral:lncRNA from 1 species
CACAGGAUGGAGACCCCCGAAAGUGGAUUGCUCUAGGUUGGAGGAGUCCAUCCAGAGAUGUUUGGAAGGAUGGUAGAUUAGAUGCUUAUCCGUGAUGCAUAGGGUUACCUUGGUGAGAUCGGUGCGAGUUUGGUUCCUAUCUAUAUGAUGUUCAACACCAUCAUUCCAAGAGUAGUGGUGGUAAGGAUCGAGUAGUAGUUUAGGUGCUUCCUAUAGGGAUCACACCAGGGUGGGAUGCAGUUCACCUACUAGCUUGGGAUGUAGUCUGUCAGCUAGUGGGUGAGGAGGGUUUGGGCAUUCAGUCCCUUGUGGUGAGAUGGGA